rnacentral:rRNA from 1 species
AUACGUAGGUGGCGAGCGUUGUCCGGAAUUAUUGGGCGUAAAGAGCAUGUAGGCGGUUUUUUAAGUCCGGAGUGAAAAUGCGGGGCUCAACCCCGUAUGGCUCUGGAUACUGGAAGACUUUAGUGCAGGAGAGGAAAGGGGAAUUCCCAGGGUAGCGGGGAAAUGCGUAGAUAUUGGGAGGAACACCAGUGGCGAAGGCGCCUUUCUGGACUGUGUCUGACGCUGAGAUGCGAAAGCCAGGGUAGCGAACGGGAUUAGAUACCCCGGUAGUCCUGGCCGUAAACGAUGGGUACUAGGUGUAGGAGGUAUCGACCCCUUCUGUGCCGGAGUUAACGCAAUAAGUACCCCGCCUGGGGAGUACGUCCGCAAGGAUGAAACUCAAAGGAAUUGACGGGG